rnacentral:rRNA from 1 species
UACGUAGGGGGCCAGCGUUGUCCGGACUUACUGGGCGUAAAGCGCGCGCAGGCGGAUGGGUAUGUGCCGUGUGAAAGCGCCGGGCUUCCCCCGGCGAGGUCAUGGUAGACAGCCCGUCUGGAGCCUCGGAGAGGUCGGUGGAAUUCCGGGUGGAGCGGUGAAAUGCGUAGAGAGUCCGGAGGAACACCAGGGGCGAAAGCGGCCGACUGGCCGAGUGCUGACGCUGAGGCGCGACGGCGUGGG